rnacentral:rRNA from 1 species
AUUGAACGCUGGCGGCAGGCUUAACACAUGCAAGUCGAGCGGGGGAAGGUAGCUUGCUACCGGACUUAGCGGCGGACGGGUGAGUAAUGCUUAGGAAUCUGCCUAUUAGUGGGGGACAACAUCUCGAAAGGGAUGCUAAUACCGCAUACGUCCUACGGGAGAAAGCAGGGGAUCUUCGGACCUUGCGCUAAUAGAUGAGCCUAAGUUGGAUUAGCUAGUUGGUGGGGUAAAGGCCUACCAAGGCGACGAUCUGUAGCGGGUCUGAGAGGAUGGUCCGCCACACUGGGACUGAGACACGGCCCAGACUCCUACGGGAGGCAGCAGUGGGGAAUAUUGGACAAUGGGGGGAACCCUGAUCCAGCCAUGCCGCGUGUGUGAAGAAGGCCUUAUGGUUGUAAAGCACUUUAAGCGAGGAGGAGGCUCUUUUGGUUAAUACCCAAGAUGAGUGGACGUUACUCGCAGAAUAAGCACCGGCUAACUCCGUGCCAGCCGCCGCGGUAA